rnacentral:rRNA from 1 species
CAAUAGCGUAUAUUGAAACUGUUGCAGUUAAAAUCUCGUAGUCGGAUUUCGAGUGGCGGCCAAUGGUUCGGCUCCGUGCCGAUACUGCUGACUGCAGCCUCCACGCCGGUCGUCUUUCGGUGCCCUCAACUUAGUACCUUAAGUAGCCGGAGCGUUUACUUUGAAAAAUUAGAGUGUUCAAAGUAGGCCUCCAGCCUGAAUGAUGGUGCAUGAAAUAAUGGAAUAGGACCUCGGUUCUAUUUUGUUGAUCUUUGGAACUGGAGGUAAUGAUUAAUAGGGUCGGACGGGGGCAUUCGUAUUGCGGCGAUAGAGUUGAAAUUCUUGGAUCGUCGCAAGACGGACUACUGCGAAAGCAUUUGCCAAGAAUGUUCAUUGAUCAAGAGCGAAAGUCAGAGGAUCGAAGACGAUUAGAUACC